rnacentral:misc_RNA from 1 species
GGAAAACAAGAAAGUGGAAAGAACACGUGCGCACACGGAAAGCGAAAAUGUGUGGCGUCAUUCUAUGAAUAGAAGAAGAAGAGAACGAGGCAGGGCAUAGAACGAUGAAGAAGAAAGAGUGGUUCGAGGGAUGAGAAAAGAGUCCUUCACGUCGUAGUGCAUCUUUCUCUGAUUUCCCGUGGGAGAAGUCGUCUCGGUAGCUUUCUGCUACGUAUCGAAGAAGACGAACAGAAUCGGAGGAUCGAGGACCCCAGGAAGGGAUCAACAGGUACAGGACACUAUCCCUCGACUAGAAAUCGCAGCCGCUAUCCUUUAAUGUACAGAGAUAUCGCAACAGAUAUUAGGAAUACGAAUUUAUAUGAAUUCGUUUGUCACUGUAUAUUAUCGGAGGGAAACACAAGGACAGUAUUGAAAAUUUUGGUUUGUUAAGCUGAUGAUACAGAUCACGCAGAGACAGAGAC